rnacentral:misc_RNA from 1 species
AAAUUAGCUACAUUGAUGGAACAGUCGGCAACUGGAAGACAAAACCACAAUAUGUUACACGCACAGACUAAAGCCUACAGCAUAAAUUGAACUACUACUGAGUGGAAAAGCAGAUUCAUGUUAAAGUUAAACUGCAAGAGAACUCCUAUAUCACUACAAUCUAAGAUGAUUGCUGAUGAUUGUGAGAACGUGGUUUAUGUCAAGAUGGUAGGACUGG